GUCUAGGUGUGCCCGUGGGUGUGAGUGUCUGUGCGUGGGUGUCUGGAUACGUAUGUGCCUGUAUGAGUGUGUAUCCAUGUCUGGGUGUGCCCACGGGUGUGAGUGUGAAUAUGUAAGUCUUGCGUGUGCAUGAGUGUGUUCACAUGAGUGUGAGGGUCUGUGCAUAACAGCCUAUUGUGUGAGUGUGUGCAUGUGGAUUGCAUUUAUGUGAGUCCGUGUCUGUGCACGCACGUGUCCCCGCACAAGCCAGCCCGAGAGGGAGUGUCCCCUGAACACACCCUGGCAGCACUUGCAGCGUGACGAGGUUGAGGGAAUGUGUCGCUGAGGUCGUAAAUGCCUCUCGCACGUCCCAACACGCUGGAGCAACAGCAGCCCGUGACGCCGGCCGUGCAGCCGUGAAGUCCGUGGAGCGUCCCUAAUCACUGGGGGUUCUGCUUUGCGGCGACAGCGGUGCUACUCACAGCUCCAGAACUCUGCAGCUUCCCCCCUGAAACGGGAACGGGAAGGUGGCGCGGGCGUCCACACCUCGAGCCACAGCCGGCGGGAGGCACAGGCUGGCAAAACUGCCUCUCAGUAGUGAGAAGAGACAAACAAACCGAACGCCAGGAGCAGAGGAAACGAAGACGAUGUGGCCAAGAAAAAUUGCAUUUUUCUUUCCAGUUUUGCUAAAAUAGCCUUCUCAUUGGCUGCGGCUUUGGAGGUGGCAGAAAUCAUACGUUUAAUCACGGCGCCCUCCUGCUUGCCAAGCUUUGCGUCCUCCAGAAUUGUCCUGUGAGUGACUCCCACAGGAUGGAGACUUUUGUGUCUGGCUUCCUUCACUUCGCAGCAGGCUUCGCGGGACCCGUGUGGUGGCACCAGCGUCCCGCCCUUGGUGCUGCUGAGCUGUAGGUUGUGGGACAGGUGGAGGUACACAGUUGCUCACGGGUUCACCUGUGGAUGGGCAUGUGGGCUGUUGUGAGUGAAGCCACUUUAGACAUUUGCGUGCAGGUUUGGUGGGGACGUGCAGUUUCAUUUCUUUUGAGAGUGGGAUUGCUGGAGCCCGUGUUAAGGGUACGUUCAACUCAUCAGCUCAACUGUCUUCCAAAUGGCAGCCCCGUUUUCCACCCCCGCCAGCAACGCCCGCGACUCCAGGCGCGCGGCAUUUUCAUCAGCACCUGGCAGUGGUGAUUCAUAAUGCUUUCAAUGUUAAUUUCCCUCAUGACUAGUGAUGUUAAACAUCUUAGGUAUUAUUUCAUGGGUUAUUUCCAAUCUUUUACCUACUUUUUAGUGGAUUAUAUUUGUCUUCUUAGUAUUGAGUUAUAAGAGUUAAAUAUUGUGGGUACAAGUCCCCUGUCAGAAAUGUGUUUUGUAAAUAAUUUCUUCUAGUCUGUGGUUUGUCUCUUCAUUUUCUUAAGUAUGUCUUUAAAGAGCAGAGGCUUUUGAUUUGGAUAAAGUUCAGUUUGUCAGUUUUUUCUUUUAGGGUUAUGUUUUUGUAUCCUAUCUAAGAAUCUUUGACUAUCAAAUUCUCACAAAGCAGUUUUUUGUUUUCUUCUAGAUGUUUUACGGUUUUAAAUUUUACCUUCAGGUCUACAACCAUUGUGAUUUAGAUUUUGUAUUUAAUGUAAGGUAUAAGUUGAGAUUCAUUUCUCUCUGUUUUUGGAGACUUAUGUCCAGCUAUUCCAGAACCAUUUGUUGGAAAGAGUAUCUUUAUCCCAUCAAGUUAUGUGGGCACUUUGUUGAAAAAGAUCUAUUGACCAUAUAUACAUGCGUUUAUUUCCAAGACUCUAUUUUGUUUUGUUGACUGACUUGUUUGUCCUUAUGACAAUAUCACACUGUUUUGAUUACAGUGGCAUUAUUGUACCUCUUGCAAAAAUCAAGUGUGAAUCUUCCAAAGAAGAUUUGGAAGAUUUUCUCUUUCAAAGUUGUGUGAGUUAUUUAAGUGCCUUUUAAUUUUCAUAUAAGUUUAGAAUUAGCUUGCAGUUUCUAAAAGAAAAAAAAAGUCUGAUGAGACUUUGAUUGUGAUUCCAUUGGAUCUAUAGCUCAGUUUGCAGGGAUUUACAUCUUAACAAUACUGAGUCCUCAAAUCCAUGAACAUGGUACAUCUCUCCAUUUAUUUAGGUCUUCUUGUAUUUUUUCUCAUCAACAUCUUAUAGUUUUAAGUAAACAAAUUUUGCACAUAUUUUGUAAGAUUUAUCAUUAAGUAUUUCAUGUUUGUGAUGUUAUGGUGAAUAUUGUUUUUAAAUUCAAUUUCCUAUUGUCCACUGCUAGUAUAUGGAAAUACAAUUGGUUUUCAUACAUUAACCUUAUGUCCAGCAACUUUGCUAAAUGUAUAAGCUCUUACACAUUUUCUGGUAGAUUGUUUAGGAUUUUCUACAUCGAUGAUCAUGUUGAGUGCAUAUAAAGGCAAUUUUAUGUCUUAUUUCCAAUCUGCAUGCCUUUCACUUCUUUUCCUGGCUUUAUUUCAGUGGCCAGAACCUCUAGCACAGUGUUAAUAAGAGUGAUGAGAGUGACAUUCUGACUUUGUUUCCAGUCUUUCUGCUUCGAUCAUUAUCAUAUUCUUUCUUUUCCUUACUUUGAAUUUAUUGUGCUCUUCCUUUUCUAGGCUUUUAAGGGUAGAAGCUUAGAUUACUGAUUGGAGAACUUUCUUCUUUUCACAUAUAUACAUUUAAUGCUAUAAAUGUUCUUCCAAGCACUGCCUUGCCAGCACCUACAAAUUGUCAUAUGUAUUUUCUUUUUUGCUCAAUUAAUUUUUUUUCUAAUUUCUCUUUGGAUUUUUUGAUCUAUCAGUCAUUUUAAAAUAUGUUCUUUAACUUCCAAAUAUUUGAAGAGACAUACUAUUAAUUUCUGGCUUAAUUCUGUUGUGGCCACAUAUUUCGCAUAACUUCACUUUUUAAAAUUUGUUGAGAUCUGUUUUACGGCCUGGAAUAUGGUCUAUCUUGGUGAAUGCUCCAUGUGCAUUUGUAAAAAAGUGUGUAUUCUGGCCGGGAGUGGUGGCUCACGCCUGUCAUCCCAGCACUUUGGGAGGCCGAGGCGGGUGGAUCACGAGGUCAGGAGAUCAACACCAUCCUAGCCAACACAGUGAAACCCCGUCUCUACUGAAAAUACAAAAAAUUAGCCAGGCGUGGUGGCGGGCGCCUGUAGUCCCAGCUAUUCGGGAGGCUGAGGCAGGAGAAUUGCUUAAAGCUGGGAGGCGGAGCUUGCAGUGAGCUGAAAUCGUGCCACUGCACUCCAGCCUGGGCGACAGCGAGACUGCGUCUCAAAAAAAAAAAAAAAAAGUGUGUAUUCUGCUAAUAUUGAAAGUAUUGCUUAAUAAAUGUCAAAUCAAUCAAUUUGGAUGAUAUUGUGAUUCAGGGUUCUACAUCCUUACUGGUUUCCUGUCUACUUCUUCUAUAGCUUACAGAGAGGAGUAUUGGAGGAGUAUUGAAGUUUCCAACGAUACUCAGGGAUUUUUCUAUUUCUUCUUUACUUUGUGAUCCAUGUGUUUUGAAAUUCCGCUGUUAGGUGCAAGCAUAUUUACAACUGCUAUAUUUUCCUACAGAAUGGCACUUUUAUUUGUUUGUUUGUUUGUUUGUUUUUUGAGACAGAGUCUCUCUGUCACCCAG
rnacentral:lncRNA from 10 species